GAACCAGUAGGUUCACUUACUUGUCCGUCUCCUGUGACAUAUUUCUCCGGCUCCUCUUGCGAAACUGGACUUUCAAGUCGGUGCGGUACCGUCUGACGGCAGAACCCGAGCUACAGUUUCAACGAUCGAUUCAUGAAUAUCCCCCAGGUCUUUUUGCAAGUUGUUCCUUGGGUGCAUUUGUGCUCUGAGCCUGCAGGAGCCAGAUUGACCAACUCUCAAGAAAGAAGAUGAGUCAGUUUGGCAUGGAAUUUUGGCAUAGGGAACACUCUUGAAGCAUCUGAAGAUGAUUGGGCCUACAACACUACCCCGAGGAGCUGUUUGCUCUUCUGUGCAGUGGUAAUAUCCACAUCUCUGACCCAGGAGGCCUGAAUUCAAGCCCUACAUGCUCCAAAAGUCUGCAAUGACAUCUCUGAACAAGUUGAUUAGGAAAAUAUCUACCCUGAGGAACGCCUGCGGAGAUUUCCUGGAACUAAGAUGACUGACUUCCAACAACCACAACCAUUUUCCUUUGUGCCAGGUAUGACUCCAACCAGCAGAGAGUUUGCCCUCCUUCUCCCUUUGAUUCUAGUUUACUACAGGCAUCCUUGAUGUUGCACCCAGUCAAAGGCCGUCUUGAUAUGUAGGAUUCACUGUACAGAUCAUUCAGAGCAUACUGUGACUCAUUCAUAUUGCUGUUCAGUGUUCUGUGAACAUCUCGGCAUUGGUUCGUCAAAAGUUCAACACAGGAUUUACUAAAACUCCCAAGGCUCUAUCUAUAUUGACACCAUCCUGACAUAUUCAUUUCAUCACUUUUUCCUUCUUGCACGUAUCAUUAUAAAUUUAUAAUCUGCUUUAAAUUAAUCUGGCACAUUCACAUGUUCUGUUUGGCUCAUUCUGUAAUAUUCACACUUCCUCCCUCAGUUUCACUAUCUGCCUAAGUUCUGUUCAAUUUGUAUAAUUUGACUAUUUUACAAUUGAGACUCUGAAUCAAAGUAAUUGACAUCAAUCAGAAACAUUAGUGGUCCCAACAUGCAAAAGUGGUGUCCAGGUUUCGGGCAAUUAAAUGGUAAUGGGAGUUGGAAACUCUCCCACUUCUCCAAAGGUGAGGCCUGGGCUACUUAAUGUCUAGGGAGUGAUGGAACAUUGCAUUACUAUACUCCACCAUCAACACCACUUGAUGGGAUCGGCUUUGGGGCCAUUUUGCAUGGGUCUCAUAUUGAGGAAGAGGAUCAUGCUUGUGGCAUAAGGGGACUCUGUUUCCCUGGCAGGUCCUGAAUGAGUAUUCUUGUCCCUCGUGGUUUUGUGGGGUGCAAAGAAAGCAUCAUCCAGCCCUGGCUCCCUUUCCCAUGUCUUCUCCUGAUGGGAUAAUGGCAUCAGUUUUUCUGCUCAGGCCACUAGUUAAAAUUGUCGUAAAAUAAUAAUCAUCAAGAUCAAACAUUUGCAAGUAAAGACUAAUACCUGCAAUGAGGUAUUCCUUAUGAGGAAAGGCUAGACAGGGUAGGCCUAUAUCCUCUGAAGUUUGGAAAAGUCAGAGGUGACUUAAUCAAAACAUUAGAGGUGAAUUAAUUGAAAGCUUGACUGGGUGGAUGUUGAAAGAAUGGCUCUUCUUGUGGAAGAAUCUAGAACUAGAGAGUCGUAGCUCAAAAAUAAGGGGACGCCCAUCUAAGACAGAGAUGAGGAAACUACUUUUUUUCUCAGAGGGUUGUGAAUCUUUGAAUUUCCUUUCUCAAAAAGUAGUGGAUGAGAAUUGUUAAAUAUUUUUAAGGCAGAGCUAGAUCGAUUCUUGAUCACCAAGUGGAUGAAGGAGUAUCAGAAAUAUGCAGGAAUGUA